rnacentral:rRNA from 1 species
GAUGAACGCUAGCGGCAGGCCUAAUACAUGCAAGUCGGACGGGAUUCAGGAGCUUGCUUCUGAUGAGAGUGGCGCACGGGUGCGUAACACGUAUGUAACCUACCUUUAUCAGGGGGAUAGCCUCUCGAAAGAGAGAUUAAGCCCGCAUAAAAUCACAGCACAGCAUUGUGUAAUGAUCAAAUAUUUAUAGGAUAAAGAUGGGCAUGCGGAACAUUAGCUAGAUGGCGGGGUAACGGCCCACUAUGGCGACGAUGUUUAGGGGAUCUGAGAGGAUGGCCCCCCACACUGGUACUGAGACACGGACCAGACUCCUACGGGAGGCAGCAGUAAGGAAUAUUGAUCAAUGGGCGGAAGCCUGAACCAGCCAUGCCGCGUGCAGGAAGACGGCCCUACGGGUUGUAAACUGCUUUUAUACGGGAAUAAACCCAGAUACGUGUAUCUGGCUGAAUGUACUGUAAGAAUAAGGAUCGGCUAACUCCGUG